rnacentral:rRNA from 1 species
GGCGAACGCUGGCGGCGUGCUUAACACAUGCAAGUCGAACGGAAAGGCCCUGCUUUUGUGGGGUGCUCGAGUGGCGAACGGGUGAGUAACACGUGAGUAACCUACCCUUGACUUUGGGAUAACUUCAGGAAACUGGGGCUAAUACCGGAUAGGAGCUCCUGCUGCAUGGUGGGGGUUGGAAAGUUUCGGCGGUUGGGGAUGGACUCGCGGCUUAUCAGCUUGUUGGUGGGGUAGUGGCUUACCAAGGCUUUGACGGGUAGCCGGCCUGAGAGGGUGACCGGCCACAUUGGGACUGAGAUACGGCCCAGACUCCUACGGGAGGCAGCAGUGGGGAAUAUUGCACAAUGGGCGGAAGCCUGAUGCAGCAACGCCGCGUGCGGGAUGACGGCCUUCGGGUUGUAAACCGCUUUCGCCUGUGACGAAGCGUGAGUGACGGUAAUGGGUAAAGAAGCACCGGCUAACUACGUG